AUUUAAUAAUUCUGCCAAGAUUCUGUCUUCUCCAUAGCUUCUCUGCUUCUCUCUUCAUAAGAGCUAAACCCUUUCCCGUCGAUCUACCUCCCGAGGUAUUCCUCUCUCGCUCUGUCUCUUCUGCAGUUAAUCUCAAAGAUUUCGCGUUUGUUUUCGAGGAAUCAAUGGCUUCCAAACGUAUUCUUAAAGAGCUCAAGGAUUUACAGAAGGAUCCUCCUACGUCUUGCAGCGCUGGUCCUGUGGCAGAAGACAUGUUUCAUUGGCAAGCAACUAUCAUGGGACCUGCUGAUUCUCCAUAUUCAGGAGGUGUAUUCUUAGUUUCUAUCCAUUUCCCUCCGGACUAUCCUUUCAAGCCCCCAAAGGUUGCUUUUAGGACUAAGGUGUUCCACCCAAACAUUAAUAGCAAUGGAAGCAUAUGUCUGGACAUUCUUAAAGAACAGUGGAGCCCGGCGCUAACCAUUUCUAAGGUGCUGUUGUCCAUAUGCUCUCUGUUAACAGAUCCCAACCCCGAUGAUCCCCUCGUCCCUGAAAUUGCUCACAUGUACAAGACUGAUAGAGCCAAGUAUGAAGGUACUGCACGCAGCUGGACUCAAAAGUAUGCUAUGGGAUAGUUUCUACAGCUAAGCCCAUCUCAGCUCUUAGAAGAUAGAAGAAGCGCCUUGAAUCUUACUUCUAUGAACUUGAAGGAAUGAAAGCCUCUGUAUUCGUGUACAGUCUCCUAACAACGUGGCCAAUUCUCCUUGGAAGAAAUCCCACCAAAUAAACAUGUAUAAUUUGAACAUUCUUUGAUUCUUUGCACUAAUAUUCCUAUAUAUCUGCCUUCAAUCUUCUUGCUUAGACUUGUGUUUUCCACUCCCAAGUCUUCCCUUUUCAUUGUCUCUGCAUAUUCUUCUUCUUCUCCUUCUCCUGACUGUGGUUUCUGAAGUGAAAGGGGAUUCUUGGUGGCUGAUCCUUCAAUCUUCUCUGUUUCUUGUUCAAUUUGGUGUCUUUUGUGAAGCUAAUUUGGAUGAUGUUCUUGCGUUUGAUCCUUCUUCGUCUUUGUUUUGCUGAUUUUACUGAUUGAUUGAGCUUCUUCUUGCUUUGUAACUCUGUUCUGUCUAUGCCCACUUGUGAAUUCUGAUCUUGACCAAAAAGCUUCUCAGUCUUGUUAGAGUGAGUGUUUU